rnacentral:lncRNA from 1 species
GCCUUCGCCGACGGGGACCUCAGCUCCGGGAAGGCGGGAAGGCUCUUCUCCUGAGCCAAGAGCUCCGCGAUGCUCGCCGGUGUGUCGCGGGCGGCUUCCCACGGGCUCUCGCGCGGCUGGGCUGUCCUCUCUAGGAUGGAGAGAGACAGCUGGGGAGCGGGAGCGCGGCACCCGCCCCCGGCUGCUGAGGUCGGCCCGGACGCGGAAAGUUGUCCCUAACCUGGGCGGGGCGGGGCUUUGUGCCGCGUUCCCACGCCAGGGACCUGUAGCCUCCAACACCUUGGUAAAGGUGCCCCUCCGAGGCUUUCUGGAGGCACGGACCGGUUAUUGUUGGCAACAGGCAUGCGGGAGGUAGGUGAGGUGCACCUACAGUUUGCCAUUUCACCCUGCAAGUUGUGCGGGUUGACAGCGCGUUUUUUUUUUAAGAUUUAUUUAUUUAUUAUAUGUAAGUACACUGUAGCUGUCCUCAGACACUUCAGAAGAGAGAGUCAGAUCUCGUUAUGAGAUGGUUGUAAGCCACCAUGUGGUUGCUGGGAUUUGAACUCGGGACCUUUGGAAGAGCAGUCGGGUGCUCUUACCCACAGAGCCAUCUCACCAGCCCGACAGCGCGGUUUUUGAUCGGAAGUAGGUUUUUGUUUUGUUUUUUGAAUGUGGAGUCCCUGCAGACCUCGAACCCGGGGUCUUUUGAGUCUCCGCCUUCAGAGUUUCAGAGCUUACAGGUACCAUCUCACUUCCGUCAUUUUGUUCCCAAGUUCGUCUGUGGGACGUUUGGACUUCUCCCUAACUUUGCAGGUUUCUUUGAACGCGUUACUUUUGUCUGGCUCAAGCUGUUGUGAAGGGGCUCUGCCCCUUUUGAACAGUGACUUUCACUUGGCAACAUGGGAGCAAACGGAAGGAAGCUGACUUCAAUUUUUCUAUUCUGGCGGAAGCAAGUACUGAGAGAAAUCACAAGCAGCCAUUCUUUCCUCACUCCUACGACUGUUCUUUUCUGAUCCACCCACUGUCCUGAAGCGGUUAGAGUCUAGGAAGCUAGGCUUGAGCCAGACACAGUGGCUUUUGUUUUGACCCCUUUGCCCUCCUCAAGACAGUCAGUCUUGCUGUGUUGCCUGACUGGCCUUGGAACUGCUGCCGAAGCAAUAGCCCUGCCUCGGUUUCGCGAGUAGCUGGGACUGCAAGUGUGUGCAAGGCUUGCGGUACUGAGGCAGGCCUGACUGAGUUCUGUGGUUAGGAAUAACUUAAGAUGCUUUGGAGUUUUCUUUGGAUGACCUACCCAGUGAAGCCAGAAAUCAAAGCUUCUCUUAGCACCUCUCAAAUCGCAAGCUCCCUUGAUUUGUUUCCUGAUUCUUUGUUUUCCAUCAUUUUCUUGAUGUAGAGGCCCCAUACUCUUUCAUGUCAACCACCUUGCUAGCCUCUGAGCCACCUUCCUCUGGGACCAUUUUUCAAACUACUGCUGGAAGGACUGUUAAACCGGCAGUACCUCAGGAAGAGAAGGGGCUGAGUAUCGGGUUCUGGGGUUGGUUAAUUGGAGGUUUUAUUGAGACGGGUCUCGGCAGCCUCAUCUGGCCUCAGACCUACAGCGAUUCUCUUGCCUCAGCAAGGGGUCUCAGGGUGAGCCACUGUGCUACAUUUGUUGUUUGUGUUUCUCUGUGUAGCCCUGGCUGUCCUGGAACUCACUCUGUAGACCAGGCUGGCCUCGAACUCAGAAAUCCGCCUGCCUCUGCCUCCCGAGUGCUGGGAUUAAAGGUGUGCGCCAUCACCGCCCAGCUCUUGUUUUUAUUUCUACCUUUUCAUAUCUAUCUAGCUUUAAAACAAUUGUGUAUGUAUGCCACAGAUGUAGGGAUGCCCAAGGAGGCCAGAAGAGGAUGUUGGUUCCUCUGUAGCUUGAAUUAGAGGGAGUUACAUGUUGCUGAGUGUGGAUGCUAGGAACUAAACCCAGGAUCUUGGAAGAGCAAGCACAAAGAUCUCUUAACUACUGAUUUUUUUUUUGACAAGUUCUGAUUUUUAUGUAUAACAAACUUGGACUGGAACAACGUAGAGUAGAAAAUAGCUUAACACGAGGCCUUACAGAGCCAUAUCCUGAUGCUACUCCAGGUAUACUAACUUUCUGGAAUACUCUGGGUUCACAUAGAAAUAUUGGAUGUUUCUCUCUCUCUCUUUCUCUUUCUCUCUCUCUCUCUCUCUCUCUCUCUCUCUCUCUCUCUCUCUCUCUCUCUCUGUCUUGAACAAAUUGGUAUACCUUCUAUUUGUGAUGAGAGAUUAUUACCAGUUUAUUACCAAACCACCUAUCCAGGCCUGGUUAAUGCACAUUGAUGAGCAGUACUGGGGUGCAUCUCCUUAACUGUGAUGUACUCUGGGCAGUUCUUUAAUCGUACCAGGUUGUAGAGCUGAAUUCCAAUAGACUUUGGGCCUGCGGUGCCAGCAGGGCCACAUACUCAGUAGGUGGGACCUGACAAGUCAGUUAUGGUGUCAUCACUUAUAUUGGAAGAUAUUUAGUUUUGAGACCCUGUCUCAAAGCAAACAAAAACAUCCCAGGUUGUGGUGAUUCGAAUGAAAGGCCCCACAUUGUCUCAGGCAUUCAAAGUUUUGGUUCCCACUUGGUGGCGGUGUUUCGGGAGGUUUAGGAUGUGUGACCUUGUUUGAGAGUGGUACUGAUGGUGCUGGAGCAGGCUCUGAGUCUGCUCAACUUCUGCUCGCAGUUCAGCACAUGACCCUCUGGAACUACAGUGCCAAUAAACUAUUUUCUAUAAGU